AUCCAGCUGACGAGUCUCGAAUGGGACAACACGCGCGUCCUGAAU
rnacentral:hammerhead_ribozyme from 1 species